rnacentral:rRNA from 1 species
UACGGAGGGGGCUAGCGUUGUUCGGAAUCACUGGGCGUAAAGCGCACGGACGCGGAUCAGAAAGUCAGAGGUGAAAUCCCAGGGCUCAACCUUGGAACUGCCUUUGAAACUCCUGGCCUUGAGGUCGAGAGAGGUGAGUGGAAUUCCGAGUGUAAAGGUGAAAUUCGUAUAUAUUCGGAGGAACACCAGUGGCGAAGGCGUUUCACUGGUUCGAUACUGACGCUGAGGUGCGAAAGCGGGGGGAGCAAACAGGAUUAGAUACCCUGGUACUCCACGCCGUAAACGAUGAAUGCCAGUCGUCGGCAGACAUGCCUGUCGGUGACACACCUAACGGAUUAAGCAUUCCGCCUGGGGAGUACGGUCGCAAGAUUAAAACUCAAAGGAAUUGACGCGGCCCCGCACAAGCGGUGGAGCAUGUGGUUUAAUUCGAAACAACGCGCAGAACCUUACCCCCCCUUGACAUCGGGAUCGCGGUUACCGGAGACGGUUUCCUCAGUUCGGGUGGAUUCCAGUCAGGUGCUGCAUGGCUGUCGUCAGCUCGUGUCGGGAGAUUUUUGGUUAAGUCCGGCAACGAGCGCAACCCACACUUUCAGUUGCCAUCAUUCAGCUGGGCACUAUGGAAGAACUGCCGAUGAUAAGUCGGAGGAAGGUGUGGAUGACGUCAAGUCCUCAUGGCCCUUACGGGUUGGUAUACCCACGUGGUACAAUGGUGGUGGCAAUGGGCCAAUUCCAAAAAGCCAUCUCAGUUCGGAUUGGGGUCUGCAACUCGACUCCAUGAAGUCGGAAUCGCUAGUAAUCGCGUAACAGCACGACGCGGUGAAUACGUUCACCGGGUC